rnacentral:rRNA from 1 species
UACGGAGGGGGCUAGCGUUGUUCGGAAUUACUGGGCGUAAAGCGCGCGUAGGCGGCUUUGUAAGUUAGAGGUGAAAGCCCAGGGCUCAACCCUGGAAUUGCCUUUAAGACUGCAUCGCUUGAACAUCGGAGAGGUAAGUGGAAUUCCGAGUGUAGAGGUGAAAUUCGUAGAUAUUCGGAAGAACACCAGUGGCGAAGGCGACUUACUGGACGAUUGUUGACGCUGAGGUGCGAAAGCGUGGGGAGCAAACAGG